GGCUCCAGCAGCCUUGGAGAAGCAUCAGCUGAGAGGAGCUAUCACAUGGGAGCCGGAGCUGCUCAGCAAAGAUGUGUUUGUCAGGAAACGGAAGUUCACAAGAGUCCCAGAAUUAGUGAUUCCCAGACCUGGGACUGGAAACCAGAUCCUGUGUCCCUUCUACUCCCCAGCAGCUCCUGCCAUUUGGAGAGACAAGACAUCAGGAAAUUUACAUAAGCAACUUUAAAGCUGGGGCCUGACCCUGGAGCUCAGUGGGACCCUGGGAGAGGGAGACAGAGGAUUUAGACUCUCUGGAUGAUAGUGCCUGAGAGGGGAGAAGGGUAUGGAGAACAGAGGAAAGGAAAAGAAAAAAGGAGCCUGAGACCACUCAGAAGGUGGAGUGUUGAGUGAGUGAGGCUCUGGCAUCUCUCACGUCCCCUGCUUCUUCGAGUUCGCCAAGGUGGACCAGAGCCACCACCUGCCAGAAAGGAGAGACCCAGCUUCUGAGCCCUCAGUUCCCUAUGCACAGUCUGGCCUGGGAGGCUGGCGAUAAGAGCCUGCCCAGGAGGCCCCAGCAGGAGGUGCCCUCCCUCUCCAUCCCCACACACUAAAUUGGGAAGUCUGGGCCUGGGCUGGCCAUCCCAGGGUCACUGGACUAGGAUGGGGGAUGGGCCUGUGACAGGAGGUGCCCUGGGUGUCCUCUUCCGGCCCCAUGGAGUCCUCUCCCAUCCCCCAGUCAUCAGGGAACUCUUCCACUCUGGGGAGGGUCCCUCAAACGCCAGGUCCCUCUACUGCCAGUGGGGUCCCAGAGGUGGGGCUGCGGGACGUGGCCUCAGAAUCCGUGGCCCUGUUCUUCAUGCUCCUGCUGGACUUGAUCGCUGUGGCUGGCAACGCCGCCGUGAUGGCCGUCAUUGCCAAGACACCGGCCCUUCGCAAAUUCGUCUUCGUCUUCCACCUGUGCCUGGUGGACCUGUUGGCCGCCCUGACCCUCAUGCCCCUGGCCAUGCUCUCCAGCUCUGCCCUCUUUGACCAUGACCUCUUCGGGGAGGUCGCCUGCCGCCUCUACUUGUUCUUGAGUGUGUGCUUCGUUAGCCUGGCCAUCCUCUCGGUGUCGGCGAUCAACGUGGAGCGCUACUAUUACGUCGUCCACCCCAUGCGCUAUGAGGUGCGCAUGACGCUGGGGCUGGUGGCCUCUGUGCUGGUGGGGGUGUGGGUGAAAGCCUUGGCCAUGGCUUCUGUGCCAGUUUUGGGAAGGGUCUCCCGGGACGAGGGAGCUCCCAGCAUCCCCCCAGGCUGCUCACUCCAAUGGAGCCGCAGUGCCUACUGCCAGCUUUUCGUGGUAGUCUUUGCUGUCCUUUACUUCCUGCUGCCUCUGCUCCUCAUCCUUGUGGUUUACUGCAGCAUGUUCCGAGUAGCCCGAGUGGCUGCCAUGCAGCACGGACCGCUGCCCACGUGGAUGGAGACGCCCCGGCAACGCUCCGAGUCUCUCAGCAGCCGCUCCACUAUGGUCACCAGCUCAGGGGCCCCCCAGACCACCCCGCACCGGACGUUCGGGGGAGGGAAGGCUGCAGUGGUCCUCCUGGCUGUGGGGGGCCAGUUCCUGCUCUGUUGGUUGCCCUACUUUUCCUUCCACCUCUACGUGGCCCUGAGUGCUCAGCCCAUUUCGACUGGGCAGGUGGAGAAUGUGGUGACGUGGAUCGGCUACUUCUGCUUCACUUCCAACCCCUUCUUUUAUGGAUGUCUCAACCGGCAAAUCCGGGGGGAGCUCAGCAAGCAGUUUGUCUGCUUCUUCAAGUCGGCUCCGGAGGAGGAGCUGCGGCUACCCAGCCGCGAGGGCUCCAUUGAGGAAAACUUCCUGCAGUUCCUUCAGGGUACUGGCUGUCCCGCCGAGUCCUGGGUUUCCCGGCCCAUACCCAGCCCCAAGCAGGAGCGACCAGCUGUGGACUUUCGAAUUCCAGGCCAGAUAGCUGAGGAGACCUCGGAGUUCCUGGAGCAACAACUCACCAGCGACAUCAUCAUGUCGGACAGCUACCUCCAGCCGGCCCCCUCGCCUCGACUGGAAUCCUGACGGGCUCCUGGACAUUUGGAGGGAGACAGGGCUGGGGCUGCUGAUGACUGAAGGAAUGUCUUGUGGGAUCACCUUUUCCCGGCUAGCAGGGGCUGGGGCUUGGGUCUCUGCACACAGCUUUUGCUUAGUUUUUCUGGGUCAGGAACAAUGCCAACAGGAUGAACGUGUGGCAGAAGCCUUGGACAUGGCUAUGAUCCUUGACUCCUGGGGGAGGGAACCUGGUGAGAUGGUAAUGAGAAUAAACAGUCACAAAGGUGAGAUAAUGCCUUUCAACCAGUGAACUUAAGCACACCUCAGGAAGCAGGGAAACUCUCUAAGGGUAGGAGUUGGAGGAUAUAGAGCACCAGGCCAGGUUUGGAGUUAUCCUGGCGAUCCUUUAGGAUAUUUCACUUUCCAGGGUAAUUGUCCAGGGCAGUAACUGCACCCAGGCAAGGAUUGGCCUCCCUGAUCUCUCUCCUCAAGGCAGUGACCCACCUCCAGCCCCUUGGACAAUCGUACAAGAGACUAAGGUUGGGAAUGGGAAGGGUGGGGUUUCCACGGUCCAUUAAAUGCCUCCCUACUCCCAUUCAUCGCUCUCAAAAUUAGUUUCAGUAACAAAGACUCAAAUCUCUCUCCUACCUGCAGUCCUGGGUUGGAGAGAGGGCGUGAGAAUUGGGUUCAGCUGUUCACUGAUUGAGACCAUAGGAACUUGUAGGUUGGUAUUGGUGGUGGUAUUUUCAAAGGAGGGGGAGUAGUUACAAAUUGAACAGGACACCCAUCUGGGACUACCUGUCCAUCCACUUCCCUCUGUUGAAUCAAGUGACAUUAAAGGAUUGAGGCAGGACCAGAGGGUGGUUUGAUCUGUAUUUGAACAAAUUUCUGGCUCGUUGAACAUUAAAGGGUAAGAUGGGCUGGUGGGAGUGGAAUAGCCUCCCCCUUUGAACGGCCAAUAAAUAAUUUUUAAUAUAAAAAGUUAUACUGAUACAACAUUUCCUAUUUCAGUCCAAUUCAGUACAUAAUAGUUGAAUACCCAGUAUUCGCUGGGACCCACAGAGUCACUGCCUUUGAGGAGUUCAUAGUCUAAUUUGAUCAGGCACCUUGUAUUUUUACAGAGCAUUUAUAUCUGGUAAAGCACUAAAGAAUUUUGAGAAAUAUAUUAAAGAAUAUAUUGGAGUUCAGUCCAUCGCAGCAAAAUACUUACAUGGAAACUUCCUGUGGACUGUGGAAAGUGUGAGGGUUGUAAAUGAAACCCUAGUUGAGGGAAAUAAUUUAUUUACUGAAACUGAGUAAUCUCCCUUUAGAUCUAGGAAAAUUUACAAGUGUCUGUCUUCCUACUACCAGACUUAACUCUAGUCUAAGACCCAUUAUACUGAGGAAAUCCUUUAGGUAAUAUAUAUACCAAGGAGAAUCUUUUGUGAUUGAAAAACAAGUUCUCCUUGUUAUCCUUCCUUUUAAGAUAAACCCAUUAAGGGAGGAACCUCAUUUCUAGAUAACAGGAAAAAACCUCUUCUUCAAACAUCAUUGAUCAGCUAGUAGGCCCUAAGCAUUGCCAGCAGAUGGCACUGUGAGUCCAGUGGAAACAGGAAAGGUCCAUGUUGGGAGGGGGCGACUGUG